rnacentral:rRNA from 1 species
AGUAGAGUGGCGCACGGGUGAGUAACGCGUGGAUAAUCUGCCUCUGCAUUGGGAAUAACAGCUGGAAACGGCUGCUAAUACCGCAUGACACAUAGGUGUCGCAUGGCACUUAUGUCAAAGAUUUAUCGCUGAAAGAUGGCCUCGCGUCUGAUUAGAUAGUUGGUGAGGUAACGGCCCACCAAGGCAACGAUCGGUAGCCGGACUGAGAGGUUGAACGGCCACAUUGGGACUGAGACACGGUCCAGACUCC